UGCAAGUCGAGCGGACCGACGGGAGCUUGCUCCCUUAGGUCAGCGGCGGACGGGUGAGUAACACGUGGGUAACCUGCCUGUAAGACUGGGAUAACUCCGGGAAACCGGGGCUAAUACCGGAUGCUUGAUUGAACCGCAUGGUUCAAUCAUAAAAGGUGGCUUUUAGCUACCACUURCAGAUGGACCCGCGGCGCAUUAGCUAGUUGGUGAGGUAACGGCUCACCAAGGCGACGAUGCGUAGCCGACCUGAGAGGGUGAUCGGCCACACUGGGACUGAGACACGGCCCAGACUCCUACGGGAGGCAGCAGUAGGGAAUCUUCCGCAAUGGACGAAAGUCUGACGGAGCAACGCCGCGUGAGUGAUGAAGGUUUUCGGAUCGUAAAACUCUGUUGUUAGGGAAGAACAAGUACCGUUCGAAUAGGGCGGCACCUUGACGGUACCUAACCAGAAAGCCACGGCUAACUACGUGCCAGCAGCCGCGGUAAUACGUAGGUGGCAAGCGUUGUCCGGAAUUAUUGGGCGUAAAGCGCGCGCAGGCGGUUUCUUAAGUCUGAUGUGAAAGCCCCCGGCUCAACCGGGGAGGGUCAUUGGAAACUGGGGAACUUGAGUGCAGAAGAGGAGAGUGGAAUUCCACGUGUAGCGGUGAAAUGCGUAGAGAUGUGGAGGAACACCAGUGGCGAAGGCGACUCUCUGGUCUGUAACUGACGCUGAGGCGCGAAAGCGUGGGGAGCGAACAGGAUUAGAUACCCUGGUAGUCCACGCCGUAAACGAUGAGUGCUAAGUGUUAGAGGGUUUCCGCCCUUUAGUGCUGCAGCAAACGCAUUAAGCACUCCGCCUGGGGAGUACGGUCGCAAGACUGAAACUCAAAGGAAUUGACGGGGGCCCGCACAAGCGGUGGAGCAUGUGGUUUAAUUCGAAGCAACGCGAAGAACCUUACCAGGUCUUGACAUCCUCUGACACCCUUAGAGAUAGGGCUUCCCCUUCGGGGG
rnacentral:rRNA from 1 species